GCCAAUGUGGCUCAGUGGAUAGAGCGUUGGCCUGUAGACCAAAGGGUCCCGGGUUUGAUCCUGGUCAAGGGCA
rfam:Myotis davidii contig91563, whole genome shotgun sequence.